AACGUUGUUUUUAGGGUGGGGAAAAGUCAGUGUGCUGCUCYUUCUGCCUCAUUUCAAACCAGGUGAACCAAGACUGAAGCUGCAGGCUGAAACUCACCAGACAAGAAGAAAAUAAAGUUAUCGCCACGAGUUGCAUCCCAGUCAUCUCCACCAUGAAGAUCCUGAGUUUGUCUUGGUUUGGAUUCACCAUGUUGACUUUGGUCCAUGCAGUCUCCAUUCCAGUCACAGAAGAACCUGUUAGUGCAGCAGAAGGUAA